rnacentral:rRNA from 1 species
AGUCACUGACAUUAGAUACCCGGGUAGUCCAGGGUGUAAACGCUGCAGACUUGGUGUUGGAAGCCCUUUGGGGGCAUUCAGUGCCGGAGAGAAGUUGUUAGGUCUGCUACUUGGGGAGUACGUCCGCAAGGAUGAAACUUAAAGGAAUUGGCGGGGGAGCACCGCAACGGGAGGAGCGUGCGGUUUAAUUGGAUUCAACACCGUAAACUCACCAGGGAAGACUGUUACAUGAAGGCCGAGAUGAAGACUCUGCUAGAUUUUCAG